CCUACGGGAGGCAGCAGUAGGGAAUAUUGCUCAAUGGGGGAAACCCUGAAGCAGCAACGCCGCGUGGAGGAUGAAGGUUUUCGGAUUGUAAACUCCUUUUGUUAGAGAAGAUAAUGACGGUAUCUAACGAAUAAGCACCGGCUAACUCCGUGCCAGGAGCCGCGGUAAUACGGAGGGUGCAAGCGUUACUCGGAAUCACUGGGCGUAAAGAGCGCGUAGGCGGGAUAGCAAGUCAGAUGGGAAAUCCUAUGGGUUAACCAUAGAACUGCAUUUGAAACUGUUAUUCUAGAGUAUGGGAGAGGUAGGUGGAAUUCUUGGUGUAGGGGUAAAAUCCGUAGAGAUCAAGAGGAAUACUCAAUGCGAAGGCGACCUGCUAGAACAUAACUGACGCUGAGGCGCGAAAGCGUGGGGAGCAAACAGGAUUAGAUACCCCUGUAGUC
rnacentral:rRNA from 1 species